rnacentral:sRNA from 15 species
ACUCCCCUCAGUUCGCAGUUUUCUCUCGGGGCUGCAAUGAUUUUGGUGUCUGUCUAUUUCUUCUCAAACCCAGUCAGCAAGAAGGAAAAGAAAACUUCAUCCGUCCCAGUUGCCUCUAAUCCCGCUUCCCCAGAAAGAGAUGCAGAAAUGACAAAAACGCUCCUUCCCAAAUAAAU